AUGGACCUCACUAAGUUCCUGGUGCUGUCCUACCAGCCACAGACCUCUGAAAUGGUUUUCCCAGGAAGGGGAAGGAUCCGUGUCGAUGCUGACAGUGUUCAGAGGAUCACUACAUGGCUCAAGAUGAUUCAGAAUAUGGCUGGAAGAACGGAUGACACAUUCUUUAUGGCCUGGCUUGCGGUUGCCUUCAGCACUUUUCUAACCCCAACCACGGCCUUGAAGCUUAGCCCAAAGUGUUAUGGACUUGUACUAGAUCAUCAAAUGCUAAAGAAUACAAACAUCUGCCUCUUUGUAGCAGAACACAUUAAUGAAGCUUUUCGGAACAUGGACCAGGAGAAGCAAACUGUCUGCUGCUGCUUGUAUCACUUAAUGAUACUAUACCUUGAUGCGCUCGUACAUGACAUCCCAAUAAGCAACUGCGCGAUACGAUCGAAUGCAUGGGAUAGUACUCUAAUUGCCAAGGUGAUCAAGAAGGAUACUAUCUCUCCUGGUGUGUUCGGCAAAUUACAACUUAAAGAGGAGUAUAGAGGCACGGAGCAGACACCACUGUUUGGUGGAAUUUUGCAAGCUGAAGCAUUCGUGGCAUCCAAGUUACCAAUAACCUACAAUCCGCAGAAAAAGGCAAACAUUGCGAAAGUGCAGCCAUCAAUGCAAACUGGAGCGUCACGCCGUGCUCCAAAAAUAAAGAGAUGGGGGUCAACUAUACAGGAAGAAGAAGAGUUUGUUGAGGAUGAGUCAGAAGAAGAUGAGGAAAUGGAAGCAGCGAUAGAUGCUGACGACGACGAGGAGACAGAUGCGGAUGAAUCAGAGGAGGACAAGGAUGAGGAUGACAAUGAAGAAGAUGCAGAGGAGGAGGAGGACACAGAGGAAGAGGAGAAGGAGGAGGAGGAGGAGGAGGACAAACAAGAAGAGGACAAAGGAGAGGAGGAGGACAAGGAAGAAGAUAUUGAGGCAGAGGAGGAGGAAGAAGAAAGUGAGGCCAAAGAGGGGGACGGGGACAAAGGGGCAGCAGUUGAUGGCAGUGAGAGGGGAGAAGACAAAGGCGCAGUAGCUGAUGGCAGUGAGAGGGAAGAAGACGAUGAUGAAGAAGAUGAGGAUGGUUAUGGUGAUGAUAAAGGGGGAUCCAAUGGAUGCAGCGACAGCAGCGAUGACGAUGAUGAUGACAACGCCCCUGCUUCUGGUGGUACAGGUGGAAACACAUCUAGGAGGACUAGCACUUCUGCCACCCCUGCCAGCAGCAGCAAUUCAUUGAGUAGCAGGAGCACACUACAGAUGUUGAUUGACAAAACUUGCUGGAAAGACAAGGAUUUGCCGAAGUCAAAGAAAAAUGACGAAGCAGAGUCUCAGGGCAGCAUUGAUAUGUUCAAGCUCUGCAACUUGAAGCCAGCUUUGCCAACCACCUUUCCCGUGCCAGAUUUCAGUGACAAAGAUAUGUGUGAGAAGAUCAACUUUGCCAUUGACAAGAGCCUGUUUGUAUCAAGUGAUGCUGAAAAGAAUCAAAUUGACAUGGAUGAAGCAGGAAAGGGUCUUGACUGGGUUCAUUCAAAGGAAAAAUACAAGGAAUAUUUAAAGCAGCUCCCAGACCUAAGCUCCAGCAAGAGCAAGGCAGCAUCCAUGGCAAACCCUCAUGUGGUCCAGAAGCGUAAAGCAGUUUCAAUGAAGAAGAAUCUGCAGUUGCCUCAAACCAAGGAGAAGAUGGUGAGUGCAGAUGCUGAAGUAAAUAUGGUCAAGGAAGCUGUGCUUCAAACUGAUAUGCCAAAUGUAGUGAGCAGAGAGCCAACCAAUGUCACAGAAGUUCAACAGAUCAAGGGGAAGACUCCCCUUUCAACAGUUCCACCAAAACCACCUAAGGAGAAGAUUGUCAAGUUUGCCAGGGGCACAAAGGGGGAACAUGCCACAAAAGGUUUGGGGUUCAGAGACAAGAGAGAACUGCGAGCCGCAACCAUUGAUGCAGGGGUGCCAAGUUCUGCUAGGUUCCUGCCAACUCAGACUGGAAAGAUACCAACUACAGAUACCAGUGUGCCAACUGAUGUGUCAGUUAGCAGCAUGUUCACAGUCAAAACCACCACAGCUGGUCAGGAAGGCACCACUGCAACUGCAAGCCUCAAGGUGCCUACUCAUAGAGAUGCUUCAAUGCCAAACACAAAAGGAGGUGAUCCAACUAUCAAAGUGCCGUCCCCAAGAGCUGACUUUCAGCAACCAUUAACACAAGAGGAGGUGUUCAACAUUAUAAGUAGGUGCAAGCCUCCAAGGCCGCCAACUACAACACUAUUGCGAACCAAGUCAGUGAACGAUGCAUCCGUGUUUGUGCCGCAAGGAGAUGCCCUGGUCCUUGAACCCUUAUGA
rnacentral:rRNA from 1 species